CUGUUCAGUGUGUGUGUCGGCUUGAGCAGGGGAGGGAAAGCCCUUCGUUGCCAAAUUUGGCAACUGGGGAGGAGAAAUGCCAUUUUCAGUUGUUUUGCUGCGGAGCGCAGACAGACCGGGGCGCUGGUGAUGACUGCCCGUUGGGGAUCGCUGUUCAACAGAAGAAAACUGGGCGGCUGAAGAUGAUGAUUUUGCGCGAAUCAUGGCUAACGGUACGGGCACAAUCAUGUUAAAAUGCGUGGUCGUUGGAGACGGUGCUGUGGGCAAAACUUGCCUGUUAAUGAGCUAUGCCAACGACGCCUUUCCUGAGGAGUACGUUCCUACCGUUUUUGACCAUUACGCAGUGAGUGUGACUGUCGGAGGGAAACAGUAUUUAUUGGGACUGUACGACACAGCUGGUCAGGAAGACUAUGACCGCCUGAGGCCUUUGUCCUACCCCAUGACCGACGUCUUCCUCAUCUGCUUCUCUGUGGUGAACCCGGCCAGCUUCCAGAAUGUGCGAGAAGACUGGGUUCCGGAGCUGCAGGAGUACGCGCCCAGUGUACCGUUCCUGCUCAUUGGAACCCAGAUUGACCUACGAGACGACCCCAAGACCAUCGCCAAGCUAAACGACAUGAAGGAGAAGCCCAUCGCCACAGAGCAGGGGCAGAAGCUGGCCAAGGAGGAGGAAACCACGUCAUUUUAGCUUGCUGCUUUCUAGCCUUUGUGGUCAUCAUCCAGACUGGUUCUCUUUCAAGAUUGGUGCAUGCUGCUACGUGGAGUGCUCGGCGUUGACGCAGAAAGGGCUGAAGGCGGUCUUCGACGAGGCCAUCAUCGCCAUCCUCGCGCCAAAGAAGGGUGUCCUCAAAAGGCGUCUGGGCUCCCGCUG